AACGGCCGUUGUUUGUUGAACACCUGGCGGUGAGCAUCACAUGGAUGACAGUCUGUCUUGACAAACAGGGUCCUCGCGUCAUUCCAGGCACUUCUUCACGGGAUCAGGGUGUGGAUGGCAUAAAGAGCAAUGAGGUCACUUUUGCUUAAUGGACAGUGUCUAAUCAUGCUCUUAAACAUAGACCACCCACGCAGCAUGGUGUGCAAUGUAUGUCUCUAAAUUUAGGAUCAAGAUUCCGUUCUAUGAUAAUGAAUUAAGUAAAAUGUUAGAGUUGGAUGUUUUGACACUGAAAGUGGUCCGCUUAUAUUUUUCCGUUCUAUUUUUCUACCAUUGUCCCACUAAACUUUUACAUAUGUACUUCUUUUGAAACUAAACUUUUAUAUCCAAUGUUUAUG